rnacentral:rRNA from 1 species
AACGAACGCUGGCGGCAUGCCUAACACAUGCAAGUCGAACGAGACCUUCGGGUCUAGUGGCGCACGGGUGCGUAACGCGUGGGAACCUGCCCUUAGGUUCGGAAUCACUCCCCGAAAGGGGUGCUAAUACCGGAUAAUGUCUUCGGACCAAAGAUUUAUCGCCUUUGGAUGGGCCCGCGUUGGAUUCGCUGGUUGGUAGGGUAAAAGCCUGCCAAGGCGACGAUCCAUAGCUGGUCUGUGAGGAUGACCAGCCACGCUGGGACUGAGACACGGCCCACACUCCUACGGGAGGCAGCAGUGUGGAAUACUGGGCAAUGGGCGAUAGCCUGAUCCAGCAAUGCCGCGUGAGUGAUGAAGGCCGUAGGGUUGUAAAGCUCUUUUACCCGGGAUGAUAAUGACAGUACCGGGAGAAUAAGCUCCGGCUAACUCCGUG